GCCAGUGUAGUGUAAUGGUUUUGGUGUUGGACUAUGACUCGUGGCCAGGGUUCGAUUCCCAGUUCAGCCA